rnacentral:rRNA from 1 species
UACGGAGGGUGCAAGCGUUAAUCGGAAUUACUGGGCGUAAAGCGCACGUAGGUGGUUUUCUAAGUCAGCUGUGAAAUCCCCGGGCUCAACCUGGGACUUGCAGUUGAAACUGGAGAGCUAGAGUAGGGUAGAGGGGUGUGGAAUUCCAGGUGUAGCGGUGAAAUGCGUAGAUAUCAGGAGGAACACCGGUGGCGAAGGCGGUUCUCUGGACCUGUACUGACGCUGGAGGAGCGAAAGCGUGGGGAGCGAACAGG